rnacentral:rRNA from 3 species
GGGUUGUGAGGUUAAGCGACUAAGCGUACACGGUGGAUGCCCUGGCAGUCAGAGGCGAUGAAGGACGUGCUAAUCUGCGAUAAGCGCCGGUAAGGUGAUAUGAACCGUUAUAACCGGCGAUACCCGAAUGGGGAAACCCAGUG